rnacentral:rRNA from 1 species
CCGGCCGCCCGCGGCGCUCGCAAAGUUCGGAUCCGCAAGGACCGGGCCAGCGGGACGUCCGCGUGGCAGGGUGCACUUUCUCCGCGGUCGAGUGCUACGACCGGUUUCGAGGCGGUCAGAAGCCCGGCGGAAAGGUAGCGCCGCCCCUCGGGGUGUCGUGUUAUAGGCCGCCGCGGUGGACUCGCCGCGAGACCGAGGACGCUUGCCGCGCCGAGCGGUCCCGGGCCGUCUUGGGUGGUUCGACCUCGGCUGCACUGCUCCGCAGAGCACCGUAACCGCCGCCCUAGCACGGGUCCGGAGACUGCCGGCGCCUCGGGUCAGUAGCG